CAGCCGCCGCGGUAAUACGUAGGGUGCAAGCGUUGUCCGGAAUUAUUGGGCGUAAAGAGCUCGUAGGCGGUUUGUCGCGUCUGCUGUGAAAUCUGGGGGCUCAACCCCCAGCCUGCAGUGGGUACGGGCAGACUAGAGUGCGGUAGGGGAGAUUGGAAUUCCUGGUGUAGCGGUGGAAUGCGCAGAUAUCAGGAGGAACACCGAUGGCGAAGGCAGAUCUCUGGGCCGUAACUGACGCUGAGGAGCGAAAGCAUGGGGAGCGAACAGGAUUAGAUACCCCCGUAGUCCCUGUCUCUUAUAC
rnacentral:rRNA from 1 species